GAUGAAGAACGUAGCGGAAUGCGAUAAGUAAUGUGAAUUGCAGAAUUCAGUGAAUCAUCGAAUCUUUGAACGCACAUUGCGCCCCUUGGUAUUCCGAGGGGCAUGCCUGUUCGAGCGUCAUUAUAACCCCUCAAGCUCAGCUUGGUGUUGGGGCCUGCCGCACGGGCAGCCCUUAAAAUCAGUGGCGGUGCCAUCUGGCUCUAAGCGUAGUAAUUCUUCUCGCUAUAGAGUCCCGGUGGAUGCUUGCCAUUAACCCCCAAUUUUCUAUGGUUGACCUCGGAUCAGGUAGGGAUACCCGCUGAACUUAAGCAUAUCAAUAGCGGAGGA
rnacentral:misc_RNA from 1 species